rnacentral:tRNA from 1 species
GGGGUGUAGCUCAGAGGUAAAGCUCUUGCUCAGCAUGCAUGAGACCUAGAUUUGAUCCCCAGCACUACCA